UACGUAGGGUGCGAGCGUUGUCCGGAAUUAUUGGGCGUAAAGGGCUCGUAGGCGGUUUGUCACGUCGGGAGUGAAAACUCGGGGCUUAACCCCGAGCCUGCUUCCGAUACGGGCAGACUAGAGGUAUGCAGGGGAGAACGGAAUUCCUGGUGUAGCGGUGAAAUGCGCAGAUAUCAGGAGGAACACCGGUGGCGAAGGCGGGUCUCUGGGCAGUAACUGACGCUGAGGAGCGAAAGCGUGGGGAGCGAACAGG
rnacentral:rRNA from 1 species